UACAAAAGCACCUGGGAAGGUCUGAGAUGCCUGUCAUCCGAGAGGAAAUGUACUGAAAGUACUGAAACAGUUAACAGAAACUACAGUGCGACUGUUGAAAGGGCUGUAAGGCAUGCGAAUAAGUCCAAUACACAAAGAUUAAAUUCAACUCAAUUCAGACUACUCUA
rnacentral:RNase_P_RNA from 1 species